rnacentral:rRNA from 1 species
GACGAACGCUGGCGGCGUGCUUAACACAUGCAAGUCGAACGAAGUGGCGAACGGGUGAGUAACGCGUAAUCAACCUGCCCUUCAGAGGGGGAAAACAGUUGGAAACGACUGCUAAUACCGCAUACUGAAGGAGGGGAUUGCGUCUGAUUAGCUAGUUGGGGGGGUAACGGCCCAACAAGGCGAUGAUCAGUAGGCGGGCGGAGAGGAGGGACGGCCACCUUGGGACUGGGGAACGGCCCAAGAUCCUACCGGAGGCAGCAGUGGGGGAUCUUCCGCAAUGGACGAAAGGCUGGCGGGGCAACGCCGGGUGGGGGGUGACGGCCUUCGGGUUGUAAAGCUCUGUUAAUCGGGACGCGGUACCGGAAUAGAAAGCCACGGCUAACUACGUGCCAGCAGCCGCGGUAAUAC